CCGGGGACCGCCACUUCCAGGGUCCCGUUGGCCGGCGCCGGGUGCACCAGGACCGGUGCGUGGUCGUUCUGGUCCAGCACCCGCACCUGCACCAGGGCGCUGCUGGAGAGCUGCGGGGAGCCUCCGUCGCUCGCCUGGAUGCGCACGUCGAGCUGGCGCAGCGUCUCAUAGUCGAAGCUGCGCAGCGCGUAGAUGGCCCCGGUGGCCGGGUCCACCGACACGUAGGUGGACACCGAGCCCCCGGCGCGGCCCACUUCUGCCUCCAGCAGCCGGGCUGCUCCGAGAAGCAACACUCAUCCCGUUCCAGAAGAACAAAAUCACAGCAUGACGUUGAAACCUGGCACGAACCUGGGGGAACUUAACCAUCUGCCUGCAAACGUGUGGAGCUUCGGUAUUGCCAGACUCUGGGCUGGGCGGAUCCCGGCCCCACCCCCACCCCCGGCCAGGCUGGGCGAGGCCCCCCACAGGUAGUCCCCCCACCCUCAGAAUCCGAGAAGACCCAGGAGUUGGAGCUCCAAGCAGGGACAAGACGAGUUCUUAUUGAAGAGCUUUAUGGAGCAGGUUAUGCAAAUACACACGGAGGAGAGGUACACCAGUGAGAACGAUGGGCCCAACUUUUUCCAGGUGACAGUCAAGUGAUCAUUCUCACCAGCACAGUCGACCUUAUGAACAUAAGCUGGGGGCUGCAACCACUUCCAGGGAAGAUCUGCAAGUAAGGGGAAACUUCUUUUGCCAUGGAGGCCAACCCUAUGAGGUGGAGACUAUCAUUGCCAUCAUACCCACCCAACAGAUGAGGAGACUGAGGCUUAGGGAGAGAUGAACUGGCUCCAGGUCACUUGGCCAGGAAUUGGGGUUAGAAGCCAGAUCUGCUGGACUCCAGAGGACAGAGACUCAACCUCUACACUCUUCAGCCUCCCUGUGUUGUCUGUUCAGUGCUAACACUCUGUGAUGUUUCUGAGUUUCUCCUGGUCAACCAUAAAGGAGAGACUCUGUCCUUUACUGGAGAGACUGUGUGCCCUUUAUUCAGCCUCAGCCCACACCAUGCCUGGCACAGACAGGGUGCUCAAUGAAUAUUUAUGGAAUAAAGGGCAUUUGGCUAAAUUUAA